rnacentral:tRNA from 1 species
UGGAGUAGAUGGUUAAUAUGUUUGGCUACUAACCAAAAGGUUGGAGGUUCAAGUCCACUCA